rnacentral:ncRNA from 2 species
ACAGUGUUCCCGGGGUGUUCCGUCUCUUGCCUAAAGCAAGACUGGGACUGAGAUUAUACCCGUUAAACCUGGUCAGGGUAAUGCCUGCGUAGGGAAGGAUAUCAUCAAUUGA